GGGAUGUGUGGUUGGGGGGUGGUGGUCAGCAGACAUUGUUAUAAGAAAAAUAAAAUUUAAUCACAAUUUCACAUAAAUUUAACACAAUAACAUGUGCGUCUAUGUGUGUCCAUAUAAGGAAGAAGAUGAGGAACAAAUGAUGACAUGGCACAAGACAAUGGUUCCAAAGUUGGUAUUUAGACUUAGAGCCAACACUCUUGCAUGCAUUGCAGACCACUAUAGGCAACAUUAAUAAACACCCACCCACCAAAAAAAAUACAUAAAUAAAACCUCACAGGUUUUUUCUCUCUUUUUAUUUUAAAGACUUGAGAUCCUAUCCAACGGUAUAUUUGAAUUCACAUUAAGGGGGGAAAAUGGAGUGAGGUAAAACUCAGAUUACCUGGCAACAUAGAAAACUG
rnacentral:misc_RNA from 1 species